rnacentral:lncRNA from 1 species
AACCAUUUUAAUCUUUCUUUCUUGAUUUUUGAAGAAAUCAAGAAUUUUUCUUGAUUCGUUAACUAAUCAAGAAGAGCAACAACUAAGAAGUGGUUGUAACUAACUUCCAACAAACUUGAGAGGAAAGAGAAGAAACCAAAAAACUAGUUGGCGCCAACACUUGACUCUAGCCCUUAUUAUUGCCCACCCUUCUUUUGGCUCCAAGGAAGGAUGCCUAGGGAGAGAGAGGGUGUGAGCUAAAGAGAGAAAG